rnacentral:rRNA from 1 species
UCUUGGUCAUUUAGAGGAAGUAAAAGUCGUAACAAGGUUUCCGUAGGUGAACCUGCGGAAGGAUCAUUACUGAACUGUCAACACGAGUUGUUGCUGGUCCUCAAAAGGGGACAUGUGCACGCUCUGUUUACACAUCCACUCACACCUGUGCACCCUUGUAGUUCUAUGGCCUGGGGGCUCUGUCCCUCUUGCUGUGGUCCUACAUCUUUACACACACACACACUGUAACAAAGUAUCAUGGAAUGUAUGUCGCGUCUAACGCAAUACAAUACAACUUUCAGCAACGGAUCUCUUGGCUCUCGCAUCGAUGAAGAACGCAGCGAAAUGCGAUAAGUAAUGUGAAUUGCAGAAUUCAGUGAAUCAUCGAAUCUUUGAACGCACCUUGCGCCCUUUGGCUAUUCCGAAGGGCAUGCCUGUUUGAGUAUCAUGAACACCUCAACUCUCAUGGUCUGCCAUGAUGAGCUUGGACUUUGGGGGUUUUGCUGGCGUAACCGUCGGCUCCUCUCAAAUGAAUCAGCUUGCCAGUGUUUGGUGGCGUCACAGGUGUGAUAACUAUCUACGCUUGUGAUCUUCCAUCAGGUUACCCUCAGCAAUGGGGGUUCGCUGGAGCUCACAGACGUCUCUCCUCAGGGAGGACAGCUUUUUAAUGUUUGAUCUCAAAUCAGGUAGGACUACCCGCUGAACUUAAGCAUAUCAUNNNGCGGAGGAA